rnacentral:rRNA from 1 species
UACGUAGGGUGCAAGCGUUGUCCGGAAUUAUUGGGCGUAAAGGGCUCGUAGGCGGUUUGUCGCGUCGGGAGUGAAAACUCAGGGCUUAACCCUGAGCUGCUCCAGAUACGGGCAGGACUAGAGGUAUGCAGGGGAGAAUGGAAUUCCUGGUGUAGCGGUGAAAUGCUUAGAUAUCGUCAAGAACACCGAUAGCGAAGGCAGCUUACUAGACUGUAACUGACGCUGAUGCACGAAAGUGUGGGGAUCGAAACAGG